rnacentral:rRNA from 1 species
GACUACCAGGGUAUCUAAGCCUGUUUGAUCCCCACGCUUUCGUGCCUCAGUGUCAAUAGAUGUGUAGCCAGCUGCCUUCGCAAUUGGUGUUCUAUGUCAUAUCUAAGCAUUUCACCGCUACAUGACAUAUUCCGCUGACCUCCACAAUAUUCAAGACUGAUAGUAUCAAUGGCAGUUUCCAAGUUAAGCUCGGAGAUUUCACCACUGACUUACCAACCCACCUACGCACCCUUUAAACCCAGUGAAUCCGGAUAACGCUUGCACCCUCCGUAUUACCGCGGCUGCUGGCACGGAGUUAGCCGGUGCUUAUUCAUAUGGUACCGUCAGACGAGUUAGAAAACCCUUUUUUCGUCCCAUAUAAAAGAAGUUUACAAUCCAGAGGACCUUCAUCCUCCACGCGGCAUGGCUGGUUCAGACUUUCGUCCAUUGACCAAUAUUCCUUACUGCAGCCCCCCGUAGG